rnacentral:lncRNA from 1 species
GUGAAGCCUAACCCUCCUUCUGGAUGUCUGCUCUUGCAGUAGAGUUUCUGCACAGAUGGAAUGAGAGACCACCCAUGGCUCUGAGAUCCCCGCAGGGCACCUUGGGUGGCCUCCGGAGAGGAUUAGCACUAGGAGAAGUCAGGAAAGGAAGAGAUGCUGCAGCCGACCCCAGUAUGAUAAAGAGAGGCUGUCUUCAUCUCCAUUCCUCCAUUCUGCAUAUUUCAAAAUGACAACAAAGGAAACAAUUUACAGUUGGCUCCAGAUCCCCCUGGCUCUGGAACUCUUUCUGUCACAUCAGAAAGAGAUGAAAAAGAGACCUCCUUCUCCAUGAACAACUCUGAGCCACAUAAAUAUUGUUCCAUCCCACUUACGGCAGUUUCUGUUGCUGGUCUUUGUUCACUGACACUGGAAUCCUGGCAGCUCGGUCCCUCCUCUGUUUCUAUAUAUACAGAUCGGAGCCCCUGAAACUCUCCUGGGGUGGAGUGAACUGUGAAGCACAGAGACCUAGGAAGGGUCCCGUUGUUGCACUUUGAUGCUAUCUCGUGAUGUCUCCACUGUAACUUGCAUCAUUCUGCAGUGAUAAAGUGUCAUCUUAGCUUGAGAUCAUCGGAGAGCCUUACGCAGCAUUGCCUUAUUGCCUGAUGUGGCUGUUUCCUUCUCCCUGCCUGACAAAGAGAGAGGUUCUCAGACACUGGGAGAAACUUGUUAAAAUCCUCAGUUCUGGGGGCUGGCCCCGUGGUUGAGUGGUUAAGUUCGCGCGCUCUGCUGCAGGCGGCCCAGUGUUUCGUUGGUUCGAAUCCUGGGCGCGGACAUGGCACAGCUCAUCAAACCACGCUGAGGCAGCGUCCCACAUACCACAACUAGAAGGACCCACAAUGAAGAAUAUACAACUAUGUACCGGAGGGGCUUUGGGAAGAAAAAGGAAAAAAUAAAAAUCUUUAAAAAAAAAAAAAUCCUCA